AUGCUGGGUAGAUGGAAGUUUAUGAGGUUGGACACAACUCAAGACCUGAGGAGCAGGGAAAUGAAUCGGCCUCGUGGCUUUCUCAGGAGCUUUCGGCAGGACCAUGUAUUUUUGUGCAUGUCUCCCUGCACUCAGAGGCCCGCCUCCUCCUCCUCCUCCUCCUCCUCCUCCUCCUCCUCCUCCUCCUCCUCCCCCCACUCCUCCCCCCACUCCUCCCCCCACUCCUCCCUCCACUCCUCCCUCCUCCCUCCUCCCCUUCUUCUUCUUCCAUCCCUCCGCUCCCUCGAGAGAUGCCCUCUGACAUUCUCCUCUGGAAGAUCCAACUUAAUACAACUGAUCGAAUCCCAGCCAGAGUUCAGCCUCAGGAGUGAAAAUGCAGUGAUUUUCCUCUGGAAUGCCCAAGCAUUAAAAACAUGGUUGUCUGGGACAGGGACCCCCGGAGGAUGGUCCCCGUCACUCUCCCUCAAGGCUGGGUGUGUAGGUGAAGGACUCCCGGUCCCUGGACCCUGUCCCUCUCCCUCGGGAUUGGGUGUGUGGGUCAAGAACCUUCCGGUAGGCGGUCCCUAUCACUCUGUCUCGGGACUGGAUUUCCGGGGUACGGACCCCCGGGAGAGGGUCCCUGUCGCUCUCCCUCGGGGACUGGCUUUCCGGGUCAAGAACUCCCCGGUAGGUGGUCCCUGCUACUCUCCUUCAGGAUUGUACAUCACCUCGCCCCUUCCUACCUCUCCUCCCUUCUCUCUCUCCACCGCCCACCCCGCACGCUCCGCUCCUCCGCCGCCCGCCUCCUCGCCGUCCCCCGGUCUCGCCCGUCCCGCCGUCGACCCCCGGGCCGCGUCCUCCCGCGGUCCCGGAACGCCCUCCCUCCUCGCCUCCGCCAAACUGAUUCUCUUCCCCUCUUCGAAACCCUACUUAAAACUCACCUCCUCCGAGAGGCCUUCCCAGACCGAGCGCCCCUUCUCCCUCUCCUCCCUCUACCGCCCCCCCUUCACCUCUCCGCAGCUGAACCCUCUUUUCCCCCCAUCUCCCUCUGCUCCUCCCCCCCUCCCUUCCCCUCGGCACCGUACUCGUCCGCUCGACUGUAUAUAUUUUCAUCACCCUAUUUAUUUUGUUAAUGAGAUGUACGCCGCCUCGAUUCUAUUUAGUCGCCAUCGUUUCUACGAGACUUUCUUCCCCUCGACUCUAUCUAUCGCCGUCGUUCCCGUCCGUCCGUCUCCCCCGAUUAGACCGUGA
rnacentral:lncRNA from 1 species